GCUACUAUCGAUAAAUCAAACCAAGUUUUCGCAGAAGAUAAAAAGCUCACUGACCGGAUCCAAGCUUUUAAGGAAGAACUCGGCUGUGCUGUCUCGCCUAAUGCUGAAAAAGCUCAACAGCAAACGCGUGGUUUUUUGAGUAAAUUGUUCAGUAUUUCAAAAUCUCAACAACCCACGCUGAGACUUAAUAAAGAUAUUACCGAUCUAAAGGAUCUAAUUAAAUUAGUAGAGACCGAUAGCGCACAAGUA
rnacentral:rRNA from 1 species